rnacentral:rRNA from 1 species
CAUGUCUAGCCGCUUUAUCAGCAAAUGAAUUUUAGUCUGAACCCCCGAAACUAGGUGAGCUACUUCGAAAUAGUCUUAAGGACAAACCCGUCUCUGUUGCAGAAGAGUGGGAUGAUUUCCAAGUAGAGGCGACMAACCUACCGCACUUAGAGAUAGCUGGUUGCUCAAGAAAAGAAUUUUAGUUCUACCUUAAGUUACUUAAUUACAAAAAAAACACAUUAAACUUAAGAGCUAUUCAAAUAAGGCACAGCUUAUUUGAAACAGGAUACAACCUAUAUUACAGGGUAAUACUCAAGAACGGGUAACAAGUGGGCCUAAGAGCAGCCACCUCCGAAAAGCGUUAAAGCUUAAUACCCCCUCUAUUCUAAUACCUUAAUUUACCUUCAACCCUUCACUACUAUUGAGCAACUCCAUAAAUCUAUGGAAGUUAUAAUGCUAGAACUAGUAACAAGAAAUAAAUUUUCUCCAAAAUACAAGCCUAAGCCACAAUAGAUAUUCUACUGGCAAUUAACGUAAAUGCCCACACUAUAGUAACCCCAACAAGAAAAUCCUAUAGCCCCCAACGUUAACCUUACACCAGAACAUUAAUGGAAAGAUUAAAAGAAAAAGAAGGAACUCGGCAAAUUUUAACCCGCCG